rnacentral:lncRNA from 1 species
CUCUUUUUUUUUUUUUUUUUUUGCUUCUGGUGCUGGGUCCCCAGUAGGGUCUUUCGAACGAGAGGCUCCUUUCAACACUUGUAUGUGUGUUUUUUCUACCUGCUGUUUUCUGUUUGGAACCGCAACUCACGUUCCCAUUAUUUGGCUGUUAGACCUUCUGGACUGAUCUUUUCUUUCAUGUCUCUCACACCUCCACCCAGUGUUUUUCACCUCCUUAUUUCUGUUUGUUCUCUUUCUGGCAAAGGAACUAGGAUGAACUUUACCUUCAAGUUCAUCCACGGAAAUUUUUAUUUUGGGUACUCUAUAUUUACUUCUAGAAAGCUCUUCUUUGCUCUGUGAUAAAUUCUUGUUUUAUGGGUCCAUUAUCUUAUUGUAUCUCUCCAAGGACAUCAUUUAGAAAACAUUUAAAAAACAUCCUGCGCACUCUGUUUUCCUUUCUUUCUUCCUUCCUUCCUUCCUUCCUUCCUGCCUUCCUUCCUCCUUCCUUAUUCCCUUCCUUCCUUCCUUCCUUCCUUCCUUCCUUCCUUCCUUCUUUCCUUCCCUCCUUCCCUUCCUUCCUUCCUUCCUUCCUUCCUUCCUUGUUUCCUUCCUUCCUUCUUUCCUUCUUUCCUUCUUUCCUUCUCUCUUCCUUCCUCCUUUCCUUCCUUCCUUCCUUCCUUUCUCAUUUCCUUCUUUAUUUCCUUCCUUCCUUCCUUCCUUCCUUCCUCCUUCCUUCCUUCUUUCCUUCCUUCCUUCCUUCUUCCUUCCUUCCUUCCUUCCUUCCUUCCUUCCUUAUUUCCUUCUUUAUUUCCUUCCUUCUUUCCUUCUUUCCUUCCUUCUUUCCUUCUUCCUUCCUCCUUCCUUCCUUCUUUCCUUCCUUCCUUCCUUCCUUCCUCAUUUCCUUCUUUAUUUCCUUCCUUCCUUCCUUCCUUCCUUCCUUCCUUCCUUCCUUCUUUCCUUCCUCCUUCCUUCCUUCCUUCCUUCCUUCCUUCCUUCCUUCCUUCCUUAUUUCCUUCUUUAUUUCCUUCCUUUUUUCCUUCCUUCCUUAUUUCCUUCCUUCCUUCCUUCCUUCCUUCCUUCCUUCCUUCCUUAUUUCCCUUCCGUCCUUCCUUCCUUCCUUCCGUCCUUCCUUCCUUAUUUCCUUCUUUAUUUCCUUCCUUCCUCCUUCCUUCCUUCCUCAUUUCCUUCUUUAUUUCCUUCCUUCCUUCCUUCC